GACGUAGGGGGCAAGCGUUGUCCGGAAUUAUUGGGCGUAAAGCGCACGCAGGCGGUCGCUUACGUUCCAGGUGACAGUCAUCGGCUUAACCGAUGAAGUACCUGGAAAACGGAGCGGCUUGAGAGCGAGAGAGGGAUACGGAAUUCCAGGUGGAGUAGUGAAAUGCGUAGAUAUCUGGAAGAACACCAAAGGCGAAGGCAGUAUCCUGGCUCGUUUCUGACGCUCGGGUGCGAAAGCUAGGGGAGCAAACAGG
rnacentral:rRNA from 1 species